rnacentral:rRNA from 1 species
UACGGAGGGGGCUAGCGUUGUUCGGAAUUACUGGGCGUAAAGCGCGCGUAGGCGGCUUUGUAAGUUAGAGGUGAAAGCCCGGAGCUCAACUCCGGAACUGCCUUUAAGACUGCAUCGCUAGAAUUGUGGAGAGGUGAGUGGAAUUCCGAGUGUAGAGGUGAAAUUCGUAGAUAUUCGGAAGAACACCAGUGGCGAAGGCGGCUCACUGGCCCGUUACCGACGCUCAGGCGCGACAGCGUGGGGAGCAAACAGG